ensembl:lncRNA
AUGUCUUUAUAUUUAGUUGACAGAAUCACGAACAGACGGAUGAAUCAUGAAUUUGAGCUCGAAGCAGAUCAGCCCUUUCCCUGCGCUCCUGAACUCAGCCGUUUGAAUGAACGCACGAGCACAGCGCUGAAGAGCAGCUCAACAGCCAAUGACGCGCGCCCACUUCCGCCAGCUCCAGUGAACAUGCGGAUGUGGUUCUGUCGCUCAAUAAAAAUGAAGAUUAAGUUGUCGUAUAAUACAAACCUGAAAGGAUUCAACAAACAUUUGAAGAUUAUGUGUUUAUGUAUUUUUCUUAUUGGGUGUCAUAAAGAAGGAAUCGACAUAGUAGCAAAGAAUGUAUCUAAAUUGUAAAACUGCUAAACUACACCGGCAAAAAGUGCCACAAAAAUGUUGUUUCUGACAAUCAAAAAGCCAUUUUACACUACAUUCUUUUUUUUUCUUUUUUUUUUAAUGAAAACUGGUGAAUCUCAUACUUGUGAAGUUCCCGAAUGCAGUAGACCUAUUUUUCUCUCAUCAUUCCUCAAAUAAAACUGACCAAAGAAUUGAGAUGUGAUUCAUGCAUUGUCCAUUCAACAGCCAAAUAGCCACUGUUUGCAUUAAAUUACGUUGUGAUGGCUGAGAAAAAAAAAACAAUAAGAAAACUCAAUAAUCUUGUGUGGUUUAGUACUUAAGCUUUGUCACAAAAUAAGUCUUAAUUAAUACUAUGCGAUACAGGUGUAGUAAAUAAAAGAUAAUGUCAGCUGGUGCUCUGUGUGACUAUGUUCCAGUACACCAGUGGUACACGUAGUGGUUGAGAAGGGUAAGUGCAAACACUGCCUGGCCAACACAAGCAGCUGUUUAGCUGAAUAGCGCCAGCAAGUGUCAAGAACCAACUGUGAUGGCACCAUCAUAUUAGCCAAGAAGUGCAUAGAAUGGCAUCCAGCAGCUGAUUAUAAGUUCACUUAAUGUAUUUUUAUAGAAAUAUAAAUGUAAUGUUAGUAGCGACAAUUGCUGUAUGGCAGCUGCAAAACAAGUUUUAACUCUGAGGUCAAAUAAUAUAACCAGUGGGCAUCUGCCAGGGCGAUCUAAUGUUACUUACUGUAAGUUUUAGCCACAGUGGGCAGUUUCACAGGCAUCUGCUGGGCCAGCUGCUAGCCUAAAUAAGAUGAAAACUGUCAUGGUGGGUUGGUGCUUUCCAACUACCCUGAAUGUCAUCAUACUGUGAAGAAUUAUUGGGCAGGUGUAGUUUAUCUUCUUUAGUGAGGAGUCUGAGGAAUAAACCUGCUAGUCCUUCAAAAAGACCAACACCCUGAAACACCUUUAAAGGUGACAUAUCAUGAAAAUCAGACUUUUCCAGGGUUCAGGUGCUAUAAUCAGGUCCCCGGUGCAUCUACCAACUAAGGAAAUGUGAAAUAGGUUAACCCAGUAACUUUGUUUUGGUAAGCCUUUUUCUGCAAGCAUCUAUGAAAAAAAGCGUGUCAGAUUUCGCUCCCUUGGCCCCUUAAUCUGUAAAUUUAUACAUACCUGUCAACCCUCCCAUUUUUCCCGGGAUUCUCCCGUAUUUUACCAUUCUAUCCCGCUAUCAUCCAGUUUAAAUAUUUUCCUGUAUUUCUCCUGUAUUUUUAAACUUUCUAUAAAAAAAAUCCCAUAGGCGUAUUUUAUAUGUUUGCUAUGGCUACAUUCACCUCCUGUAAAACUCUCGCAAUUUGUAUAGUUCAAACCUCAUUAUAUUAAUAAUCAUGUCAACAAAUUUCAAGGUUGCCCAGUUGCCAGAUCUUGUAUGAAACGCAUCCUUCUCACACAAUCGUCACGUGCAAAUUUCAACCCAUUUCUCUCCAUAACUUGGCAACCUACAACAGUGAUGAGUACCGCGGGAAAGAAAGGAUCACUAAAUGGGAUGGGAGGAGAAGACUCAGGUGGUGCUCCGAUAAUUGUUUGAUAAUUGUUUGAAUUAAUAUAAUAAUAUAAUAUAAUAAUUGAUACUUUAUAAUAUAAAUAAUUGAUACAGCCAUUUCGGCCUGUAAAAGCUGAAGAAGAGCUUUCUUCUGGUCUUCCUCUGUCAGUUGGAGGAACUUCAGCUCUUUCACUAAACCUCUGAAGACACAGAGGUUUUUCUCCAGCCAUUCAACUGCAGUGUGGAGAUCUUUUGUUAUCUUUGGCUCCUGAAUGAGAUGGACAAACAAGUGGAAUGAAGUGUUGGAAAUAGCUUCAAUAAUACUGUACAUUCAAUAACACAUAAUACUCAAAAGUCAUGAGCUUUAGUCGGGAUGUAGCAAGCAUUAUCAAGUUUUGAUUGUUUUUUUGUUUGUUUGUUUGUUUGGUUUUGUUUUUUCCCAAGUGCCCCUAUAUGAGAUAUAAAAAACAUACCCUAAUGCAGAUCUCAGUCUCCUGCUCUUCCAGCACUGCACACAGUGAGGACAUGUUUCCUGUGAAAAAAAUUAUGGUAAUUUGUAGUCNAUUAAAUUUUUUAAUCUAAUGAAUAACAUAAUGUGUUGAUUAAUUAAUCUAAUUAAUCACAAACUACAUUUGGCUGUGAAAAUACCCC